rnacentral:rRNA from 1 species
UACGUAGGGUGCAAGCGUUAAUCGGAAUUACUGGGCGUAAAGCGUGCGCAGGCGGUUGUGCAAGACAGAUGAUCGGAAUCCCGGCUUAACCUGGGAAUUGCAUUUGUGACUGCACGGCUUGGAGUGCGGGCAGAGGGGGGGUGGAAUUCCAGCGUGUAGCAGUGAAAUGCGUAGAUAUGAUGUAGAACACCGAUUGCGAAGGCAGCUCACUAAGCAGACAUUGACGCUGAGGCACGAAAGCGUGGGGAGUCAAACAGG